GAUGAACGCUGGCGGCGUGCCUCAAACAUGCAAGUCGAGCGGGGCUAUGUAAUAUCGCAAGGUAGAACAUAGCCUAGCGGCGAACGGGUGAGUAACACGUGGGUAACCUGCCUGGAAGACAGGGAUAACGAUUCGAAAGGGUCGCUAAUACCUGAUAAUAUCCUUUCAUCGCAUGGUGAUAGGAAGAAAGGGGAAACCCGCUUUCAGAUGGGCCCGCGUCCCAUCAGCUAGUUGGUAAGGUAAAGGCUUACCAAGGCGACGACGGGUAGCCGGUCUGAGAGGAUGUACGGCCACACUGGGACUGAGAUACGGCCCAGACUCCUACGGGAGGCAGCAGUUGGGAAUCUUAGGCAAUGGACGAAAGUCUGACCUAGCGACGCCGCGUGAGGGAAGAAGGCCUUCGGGUUGUAAACCUCUGUCAUGGGGAAGAAGUAAGUGACGGUACCCCAAGAGGAAGCCCCUGCUAACUACGUGCCAGCAGCCGCGGUAAAGUCGACGUCG
rnacentral:rRNA from 1 species